UGGGGAAUCUUGCACAAUGGGCGAAAGCCUGAUGCAGCGACGCCGCGUGCGGGAUGAAGGCCUUCGGGUUGUAAACCGCUUUCAGCAGGGACGAGGCCGCAAGGUGACGGUACCUGCAGAAGAAGCCCCGGCUAACUACGUGCCAGCAGCCGCGGUAAUACGUAGGGGGCAAGCGUUAUCCGGAUUCAUUGGGCGUAAAGCGCGCGUAGGCGGUUUGUUAGGUCAGGAGUUAAAUCUGGGGGCUCAACCCCUAUCCGCUCCUGAUACCGGCAGGCUUGAGUCUGGUAGGGGAAGGCGGAAUUCCAAGUGUAGCGGUGAAAUGCGCAGAUAUUUGGAAGAACACCGGUGGCGAAGGCGGCCUUCUGGGCAACGACUGACGCUGAGGCGCGAAAGCUAGGGGAGCGAACAGG
rnacentral:rRNA from 1 species